rnacentral:rRNA from 1 species
AGGUCAAGCAAGAAAGAGCACAGGGUGAAUGCCUUGGCACUGGGAGCCGAUGAAAGACGUGGUA